CCUACGGGAGGCAGCAGUGGGGAAUAUUGCACAAUGGGCGAAAGCCUGAUGCAGCAACGCCGCGUGAAGGAAGAAGGGUUUCGGCUCGUAAACUUCUAUCAACAGGGACGAAAGAAAUGACGGUACCUGAAUCAGAAGCCCCGGCUAACUACGUGCUAGCAGCCGCGGUAAGACGUAGGGGGCAAUCGUUAUCCGGAAUUACUGGGGGUAAAGAGUGAGUAUGCGGAAUGGUAAGCCAGAGUUGAAAGCCUUGGGCUUAACCCGAGGAUUGCAUUUGGAACUAUCAAGCUAGAGUACAGGAGAGGAAAGCGGAAUUCCUAGGGGAGCGGUGAAAUGCGUAGAUAUUAGGAAGAACACCAGUGGCGAAGGCGGCUUGCUGGACUGAAACUGACGCUGAGGCACGAAAGCGUGGGGAGCGAACAGGAUUAGAUACCCCUGUAGUC
rnacentral:rRNA from 1 species